UUACAACUCUGUAAUAAUUCUAAAUCCAAAUAGCUUAUAGUGAACACAAAUGAUAUUAAUAUAAUAUUCUCCAUAUUCUCCAUCUUCUUAUUAGGUGAAAACAUAUCAGAAAAUGAGAGGAGUCUCCACAAGUACGCGGGCCUCUGACUGUUGUGGCCUCUCCCGCCGCGGAGCACAGGCUCCGGACGCACAGGCUCAGCGGCCAUGGCUCACGGGCCCAGCUGCUCCGCGGCAUGUGGGAUCCUCCCGGACCGGGGCACGAACCCGUGUCCCCUGCAUCGGCAGGCAGACCCUCAACCACUGCGCCACCAGGGAAGCCCUCUUCAAGAUUUUUUAAUAGCACAGGCUCCGGACGCACAGGCUCAGCGGCCAUGGCUCACGGGCCCAGCCGCUCCGCGGCAUGUGGGAUCUUCCCGGACCGGGGCACGAACCUGUGUCCCCUGCAUCGGCAGGAGGACUCUCAACCACUGCGCCACCAGGGGAGCCCUUAUUGUGUUUUUUAACUUAAUUACCGUCAAAAAAAAAAUGUUUGUAUGCAUGUGGUUUGUUUUUGUAUAACCUUCCUUUAC